GACAGGAGGAAACGCAGCGCCAGCAGCAUCUCAUCUACCCUCCUUGACACCUCCUCCCCGUGGCUCCAGCCAGACCCUAGAGGUCAGCCUUGCGGACCAACAGGAGGACUCCCAGCUUUCCCUUUUCAAGAGGUCCCCAGACACGGGCCACCCUCUUCCAGCCCCUGCGGCCAGUGCAAGGAGGCACCAAUGCUCUCAGGCUGUCGCGUGGUGCAGCGUCGAGCAUCCUCGCCGAGGUCCUUUCUGCUGCCUGUCCCGCCUCACCCCGCUCCAUCACACCAGCUGGCCCUCUUUGCUUCCUUUUCCCAGAAUCGUUAAGCCCCGACUCCCACUAGCACCUCGUACCAACCUCGCCCCACCCCAUCCUCCUGCCUUCCCGCGCUCCGGUGUCCCCCGCUGCCAUG
rfam:Gorilla gorilla gorilla genomic chromosome, chr20, whole genome shotgun sequence